rnacentral:rRNA from 1 species
UACGGAGGGGGUUAGCGUUGUUCGGAAUUACUGGGCGUAAAGCGCGCGUAGGCGGACUGGAAAGUUGGGGGUGAAAUCCCGGGGCUCAACCCCGGAACGGCCUCCAAAACUAUCAGUCUAGAGUUCGAGAGAGGUGAGUGGAAUUCCGAGUGUAGAGGUGAAAUUCGUAGAUAUUCGGAGGAACACCAGUGGCGAAGGCGGCUCACUGGCUCGAUACUGACGCUGAGGUGCGAAAGUGUGGGGAGCAAACAGG